GUGCAGCAGGCGAGAAACUUUACAAUGUGCGAAAGCACGAUAAGGGAACUCUGAGUGCCUCCUAAGGAGGCUGUUCAGGUGUCUAAAAGCACCUGAAGGAAGGGCUGGGUAAGACCGGUGCCAGCCGCCGCGGUAACACCGGCAGCCCAAGUGGUAGCCACGUUUAUUGGGUCUAAAGCGUCCGUAGCCGGCUGGGUAAGUUCCUUGGGAAAUUUGGCUGCUUAACAGUCAAGCUUUCAGGGAAUACUGCCCGGCUUGGGACCGGGAGAGGUCAGAGGUACUCCAGGGGUAGGGGUGAAAUCCAUUAAUCCUUGGGGGACCACCGGUAGCGAAGGCGUCUGACCAGACCGGGUCCGACGGUGAGGGACGAAGGCUAGGGGCGCGAACCGGAUUAGAUACCCGCGUAGU
rnacentral:rRNA from 1 species